rnacentral:rRNA from 1 species
GACGAACGCUGGCGGCGUGCCUAAUACAUGCAAGUCGAGCGGAGUGAAUAGAAGUGCUUGCACUUCUAUUCACUCAGCGGCGGACGGGUGAGUAACACGUAGGUAACCUGCCUGUAAGACUGGGAUAACUACCGGAAACGGUAGCUAAUACCGGAUAAUUUGUUUCCUCACCUGAGGAGACACUGAAAGGCGGAGCAAUCUGUCACUUAUAGAUGGGCCUGCGGCGCAUUAGCUAGUUGGUGAGGUAACGGCUCACCAAGGCGACGAUGCGUAGCCGACCUGAGAGGGUGAACGGUCACACUGGGACUGAGACACGGCCCAGACUCCUACGGGAGGCAGCAGUAGGGAAUCUUCCGCAAUGGACGAAAGUCUGACGGAGCAACGCCGCGUGAGUGAUGAAGGUUUUCGGAUCGUAAAGCUCUGUUGCCAGGGAAGAAGAUUUGGGAGAGUAACUGCUCUCAAAGUGACGGUACCUGAGAAGAAAGCCCCGGCUAACUACGUGCCAGCAGCCGCGGUAAUACGUAGGGGGCAAGCGUUGUUCGGAAUUAUUGGGCGUAAAGCGCGCGCAGGCGGUCAUUUAAGUUUGGUGUAUAAUCCCGGGGCUCAACCCCGGGUCGCAUUGAAAACUGGGUGACUUGAGUACAGAAGAGGAGAGUGGAAAUUCCACGUGUAGCGGUGAAAUGCGUAGAUAUGUGG